GCACAAGCGGUGGAGCAUGUGGUUCAAUUCGACGCAACGCGAAGAACCUUACCUGGGCUCGAACGGCUUCUCAACGGCGGUGGAAACACCGCUAUCCCGCAAGGGAGUGGAGUCGAGGUGCUGCAUGGCUGUCGUCAGCUCGUGUCGUGAGAUGUUGGGUUAAGUCCCGCAACGAGCGCAACCCUCGUCCUGUGUUGCUAACCGAAAGGUGCACUCUCAGGAGACCGCCAGCGAUAAGCUGGAGGAAGGUGGGGAUGACGUCAAGUCAUCAUGGCCUUUAUGUCCAGGGCUACACACGUGCUACAAUGGCCGGUACAAUGCGCUGCCAACCCGCAAGGGGGAGCUAAUCGCAAAAAACCGGUCUCAGUUCGGAUUGCAGGCUGCAACUCGCCUGCAUGAAGCUGGAAUCGCUAGUAAUGGCGUAUCAAAACGACGCGGUGAAUACGUUCCCGGGC
rnacentral:rRNA from 1 species